UACGAAGGGGGCUAGCGUUGCUCGGAAUCACUGGGCGUAAAGGGUGCGUAGGCGGGUCUUAAGUGAGGGGUGAAAUCCUGGAGCUCAACUCCAGAACUGCCUUUCAUACUGGCAAUCUAGAGUCCGGAAGAGGUAAGUGGAACUCCUAGUGUAGAGGUGGAAUUCGUAGAUAUUAGGAAGAACACCAGUGGCGAAGGCGGCUUACUGGUCCGGUACUGACGCUGAGGUGCGAAAGCGUGGGGAGCAAACAGG
rnacentral:rRNA from 1 species